CACUCGGGAGGCAGAGCCAGGCGGAUCUCUGUGAGUUCGAGGCCAGCCUGGACUACCAAAUUUUGGUUCAGAACGUUCCUUCUUCAGCUAGACAUAGUGGCACAUUUGGGAGGUGGAGGCAGAAGGAUCAGGAGGAGUACAAGACCAUCCCCAGCUACAUGACUUUCAGAUAAGAUACAAAACUCUCAGCUACUGCUCCAGCACCAUGCCUGCCUGGCUGCUGCCAUGCUCUCUGCCAUGGUGAUCACGAACUCACUCUGUGUAACCUCAAAGGUUCCUCCCUCCCGUCUGGAAAAGAGUCCACCUGCACCUGGUGGGACGUGAUUGCAGCCUUCAGACUUUAAGAACCCUAUCCUCGCUUCCCUACCAAGAGUUUUUCUGAGGCACUUGCCUGCUCUUAAUCAGCAGCUAAUAAAAGACCCAGUAUACU